CAGCUGGCUUCAAUCGUUUUUCUUCUUUACCCCUAAUUUUCACUGUCCUCUUUCCCUCUUCAUUACUCAUGCCAUAGUCAUUCUUCCAUGGACGUGCAUGUAUUUUUGUACCCUUAAAAUAAUUCGGUGAGUUCUUCCCAUAUUAUUUUUGUCCUAUUUUUGGGUUUCUUUCUUGCUUUUGUUCUUGAGUGGUUGGCAUAUACGUUUAUGUAGUCAUCGAAUUUCCUUUUCCCCUUCCUAUGUUCGAAGGAUUAUAUUUUUGCAUGUUUGCUCUAAUUUAUUGAUGCACGUUGGUUUUGUUGUUUGGUCAUGUAUCUUCUUUUUCUGGAGAAAUUUUGGGUGUUUCUUUUUUUAAAAAAUAUUCCAAUGUUAGAUCUCUGUUUCAGACUUUCAAAUUUGGGCGUUCUGUGCAUUUCUUUUUCCUCUUCUUCCAAUUGUUUUUCUAAUUUCCUUUUAGUAUUGCGUCCAUAAUUUUGGAUAUUUGGCUUAAACUGAUCUGAUUUUUCAUCUUUCUUCGCUUUUUUGUAGGUUUGUAUAUAUAUUUGUUAUUUGUUCAAAAUAUUCUAUGGUAGCAUGCUAAAUUAACAUUAACAUUAACAUUAAAAAAGUGAUAAUGAAAGGUGAAAAACUUUGUUGCAGCAAAGGUAUUGAAUCAACUUUUUAUAGGGAUUUUGUGAUAGUGUUAAAGAAAGAGGUAAACUCAGAUUAGUUUACACAUUUUGCUGUCAUCUUUUAGUUUCUAUGAACCAAAGCUCGGUUGACUGCUAAUUUUUACUCAACUACAUGCUCAAAUAUUUUACGUACUGUCCAAAAUGUAAUUCAACAAGCUUUGCAGUUGUGUCUGUCUUCAUUUCCAUGCAUGUUUUGUAAAUGUAAAUUCCUUAUUUAACUCUUUUUUGUUACUUUUUUACAGGCGGUCAAUGCCUUGCAGGAUUAGGCACCCGUCUUUGGCCCCUAAAUUUGAUGGGCUUCAUUUUUUUAGCAAUAAUAUAUUAAUAUAUGAUUUUUAAAAAGAAUAUUUUGGUGUGUUCUACGUAUCUUUAGUUUAAGACUGGAAGAUUCAAGUCUUCUUUACUUUCUUAAACUCCAAACUCCAAACUUUAUGUCAAGUCAAAUAGGUGAACAAAUUGAAACAAAAGGAGUAUUAUAUGUAGAAAAAGGAAAAAAAAGACGCAUGCAUAUUUUUUAUAAAAAACUCUGCAUCUGAAAAUACUUUUGUAUGAAAUAUAUUAACACAUUAGCUUCUCAAAAAAUUCAAAGAAUAAACUUUGAAUAAAAAAAUUAGUUUAUUUCAGAAGUUAAGGCUUCCAAUUCAAUUUUGCCAACGGGUUUGAGCCGCUCCUGCAUUUGAUAUUUCUUAGCAUAAGUGACUUAUAUAUAUUUGUUAACUGAUAGUGAUGUGACUCUUCAAUUUUAUUGGAUAACAUGUCUACAAUAAAUAUAGUAAGUUAAAAGAUUCAACUCGUAAUCUGAAUUCUACAAAAGGUUUCAACGUUGUUGGUAACAUUAAAACAGUUGUUGUCUUGUUGAGAGCUAUUGCCCUCAUGUUGUCUAUUGUUCUGAUAUUUUUUUUUGUUUUUUAAAUGGCAAACAUAAAAUGAAUUUGUUAUGCGAAUAGUGUGUUGAACCAUGGUUGCCUGCGUGGUGGGGUCAAAGCAAGGAUCUAUGGAAGUGGGGCUCGUCCGCGAUCAAUAUUGGAUCAAACAAUAGGGGCGUAGCACUAACCUACCGCUCCUCGUGGAGUAGAUCGUGCAUCCAGUCAAGUCUUUGAUCAGGGAAUGGGAGAAUUUCCACUACUCGGGCAAAGGAGCUAGGACAAUCAGAUCGUCAGCCUUGAUCUAGAUCCGAAUCCAGUGGUCAUUCUUGUUCCUUCUAGACUGUAACGUAUCUCCGCAUCUGCGUGAAUGUGCUCAGUGUAGAUUUUUUCAACUUCUCAUAGAUCGAUUGUUAACCUAUGCCGCUGCACUGAAGGUCUGAAGGUAAAUAAUGGUUUGUCAAGGUAUGUUAUUACCUUAGAGAAAUAAGUUGAGAAUGAAUAAAAUCAAAUAGUUCUAUGCUACUCUCUUUUACUGGGUGGAAAAAUAUUAUCUCCUUCUUUUUAAAUAUCUCGUCAAGAUCAUUUGGGAACAUGUUGCAGAUAUAUAUUUUUCGUCAAGAUAAAAAAGGGUAGUCCGAUGCACUAAACUGUGAUGCGUACCUUAUCAAAUUUAGGAAGACUACCAGCCUUCCACAGUAGUUUGAAUAAUUUUGUAAGCUUUAAUAUUUUCUCUUUCAAUACAAAGGAUUCAACCUGCAAGUAUAUCACUUUGAGAUGAAGUACUCCAGAAUUUUGUCCAUUGAAAAGGUAUUCAGAGUCUAUAAGUUUGUACCAUCCUCUUAAAUAUAAGUCUAUUCAGUGAUGUUCUUCAAAUUUAUGAAAGGCACAUAACUGUCAGCUAAGUCAUAGAGGAAACAAAUAACUGGAUUCACUAGGAUUUAAACCUUGCCUAAAGUUAUUUGAUGGAAAAUCAUGUAUGUGAGAUAUGAACACCUAUACUAUAAAUUUUAUCUACUGUUGUCGAUAUAGUUUCACAUCAUUACAGUCUCAGCACAAUUUCUUAUGCGCCUUAUGUAGAGUAUUUUUUAAUCUAGAGAAAAAAUGGGUGAAGAUUGACAAAGAAUGUGAAUAGCAUGUUCAGGUUCUAGAAGGAGUUUGUUGGAUUUCUAGAGGAUGUUGGAGAGCUUUCUGUGCUCAGCGAGAGGAAGUUGAAUUUGGAAUCAUCUAACAAGGGUCAAGGAUACAACAAUUGUGUUGAGCUUGUAACAGUAGAAAAGAAAGCUCCCCAGCAGAAGUUUUUGGUCUUGAAGAUGAAGUAAUCACAUUUGAGAUGAGAAAUUAUCACCAGUUGUUACAUUAUAUAUUUGUUGGAAGUUGAAUUUGGAAUCAGCUAACAAGGGUCAAGAAUACAUGUGUUGAGUUUGUAACGGUAGAAAAACUCCACUUCCCGCGGAAGGUUUUGGUCUUGAAGAUGAAGUAAUCACAUUUGAGAUGAGAAAUUACCACCAGUUAUUACAUUAUAUAUUUGUUGGUAAUUUAUUUUUGUGGACAGGAGUUAAUGAUUAAAUUGUACUUAUUGAACUUGCACAAAAAGCUUGUUAGCAUAUGGCAUGAUUGGCAGUUGUAGUAGCUUAACAUAUCACACCACAGAGAGUAUCAUAUUUUGUCAAUAUCUAGAUUACUAUCAUGUCAUUUUGCUCCAAUACAACUUGAACAACGUUGCUUCUGAAUUCUAAAUGGAAGUGGUAUGAAGCAGUUAUCGUGUAAUGUCAUGUAUAUUUCAUUUCA